rfam:Schistocephalus solidus strain NST_G2 genome assembly, scaffold: SSLN_scaffold0000463
GGCCUCUUAGCUCUGCUGGCUAGAGCGUUGACUGUACUAAAGCCUUCCCCUUCCUGGUGUGGGUUCGAAUCCCACCAAGGCCG